UAGGGAAUAUUGCAAAAUGGGCGAAAGCCCGAUGCAGCAACGCCGCGUGGGCGACGAAGGCCUUCGGGUCGUAAAGCCCUUUUGAGGGGAUGAGGAAGGACAGUACCCUCAGAAUAAGCCUCGGCUAACUACGUGCCAGCAGCCGCGGUAAAACGUAGGAGGCGAGCGUUAUCCGGAUUUACUGGGCGUAAAGCGCGUGCAGGCGGAUUGGAGAGUUGGAUGUGAAAGCUCCCGGCUUAACUGGGAGAGGUCGUUCAAUACUUCCAGUCUUGAGUGCAGUAGAGNGAAGUGGAAUUCCGGGUGUAGUGGUGAAAUGCGUAGAUAUCCGGAGGAACACCAGUGGCGAAAGCGGCUUCCUGGACUGUAACUGACGCUCAGACGCGAAAGCUAGGGUAGCAAACG
rnacentral:rRNA from 1 species